rnacentral:rRNA from 1 species
GUACACAAAAAUGCACAUACUGUGAGCUCGAUGAGUAGGGCGGGACACGUGGUAUCCUGUCUGAAUAUGGGGGGACCAUCCUCCAAGGCUAAAUACUCCUGACUGACCGAUAGUGAACCAGUACCGUGAGGGAAAGGCGAAAAGAACCCCGGCGAGGGGAGUGAAAAAGAACCUGAAACCGUGUACGUACAAGCAGUGGGAGCCUCUUAAUGGGGUGACUGCGUACCUUUUGUAUAAUGGGUCAGCGACUUAUAUUCUGUAGCAAGGUUAACCGAAUAGGGGAGCCGAAGGGAAACCGAGUCUUAACUGGGCGUUAAGUUGCAGGGUAUAGACCCGAAACCCGGUGAUCUAGCCAUGGGCAGGUUGA